UGGGCCCAGGAAGGGUGAGAGUCUUUUCUUACAUAACAAGCUAAAAGGGGCACAGGCACUGUGUUUUCCUCCCCACACUGUUUCCUCACUUUCGGCGCACGGCAAAGCCUCAGCCUACCUGCCUCACACCAUCAGAUCUGGAGCAGACAAAAACUGCUGGCCACUGCCCGCUCCUCCAUCUGGAACCUGCAUGGCUCGCCCACCUUUCCCCGCUCCACCUGGAGGCUGCGGUUAGCCCAGGGCUUCUCCGAAGCCCCCAAGGCAGCUGCAAAGAGUUAGGCUCUGCCAGCUGACCCUGUGGCGGCCAAGGGUGGGCUUGGGCCGCCCGGCUGCAGGAGGGGAAACCAGCAAGACCCCACGCACUGAGCUGCGCUUCCCUGAGCUAUGGGACGUGCGCCUGGGACUCAGCUCAGACAUGU
rnacentral:telomerase_RNA from 1 species